AGCCCCGGUUUCUUGUACGUCGAGAGGCACGUUGGGCAGGGUUUAUAUUUUCAUCAUUCAAAUACUUGAAUACUCGUUUCAACCCUGUGCAAGGCAGCUUGUUAGCACUGGAGGGAUAAAGGGUCACGGAGUUUCUAGGCCUGAGGGCAGGACAGGCAUGAACCCACAACAGACCAGACUGAAAACAGGAUGAGUGAACACGUCUGUCACCAGCACGAAACUAACAGCUGACCCAUCUGUCUGGGCGUUUAAGGAGUAAGAGAAGUUAAGGAAGGUCUGAAUCACAAGACACUGAUAAGCUGUCUGAACCCCUGCCCUACUCUCUGGAGCGUCCCAUUCCUGGCUCCCCGGUCUGCCCCAGGAGUCAGUGUACCCCUGUGGGAGCAGUGUCCAGCUCCAGCUAGAGAGGGGUUGAAAAGCUGGACCUGGAGUACGAGAAAUCUGGCAGAGCACGGGAGUCUCAGGCCCUGCAGAUCUGCAGACCAUCAACAGUCUGCGAUGAUAUCCGAAUGGCAAUGGAAAGUAGUGUUCAGGGGCCAGCAGAUGGCUCAGUGGUUACGUCCCUGGACUCCCAUA